CGGGCCGCGGGGGCUGCUCGGGGAUGAGUCUCUCACAGACCUGUGCUGACCACUCGGGUGAAGAGGUUUGAGUUCUCUGAGGGCUCGUCCUGCCCCGGCCUGUGGGUUGGUACCUUGAUAUUUACAAUAAUUGUGUUUCUGACGACUUCUUCUUGUUGUAUUUUCAGCUUUUUAGGCUUUAAAAUGGCGCCUCUGUGGAAGGUGAGCUUUAAACCCGGGUUUUAGGGUGUAAAAAAGCCGGAUUUAAUUAAAAAGGGCAGCAGUGCUGCGGGGAUGAUCCACUGAACUCUCUCUUGCUGAUGAUUUGGUGGAGAAGCUCCUAAACACGUUCUGAGUGGCACUGACACGAGUUUGGGGGGUCCAGACCCCUGGGGGGGAUUUAAACCAUCAAAAGGGGGGUGAGACCCUCCUUUAAAUCUCAUGGGGAGCUUUAGACCCCCCCUGUUGGGGAUUAAACCCUGGUGGGGAGGGAUUCAGGGCCUUUUAGGGGGGUUAAAACCGUGUUGAGAGGGUGAAAAAACCCUCGUGGGGGGGGGGUAAAUCCUCAUGGGGGGAUUUAGACCCUCUUGAAAGAGGAGUUAAACCCACGUGGGAAGGUUUAGACCCACAUGGGAGGGAUAAAAGACUUUCACGAGAGUCAAAGUUUGUCCCCCGGGGUGGUUUAGUGGGGUCGUUUUGUUCCUAAAUCACCAUUUUAACCAUUUUUUCCUCUCAUUUUCAAGUCGUUAAACCAUCACUGGGGGUCCCCACAGCCCUUGACCAGGGUUGGGGCAGCAGGAGAAGAAAACGUUGCGGGAUGAGGCGACUCAGAGUCACCCCCAGACCACCCUGAAUUAACCCCAAAAUGACUUAAACCCCCCCUGGGACCCCCCCACAGAUGCUCCAGUUGGGGAUUCUCGAGGGUCCAGGUGAGUUUUUGGGGGGCCCAGGGGUGGGUUUGGG